CAUAACAAUGGACAGUAGUGAAUUUCGAGAAACAUGCUCUCCAGCCAUCUUUGGCACGGAGCGACAGCUUUAAAUUGGAGUUUAAGCAGUUUAGUUUCAGGUAGCCUAGCUGUAAAUUAAAACCCGACUAAACUGGAGAGUAGCUUAAUCUAAUUAUUGACUGUUUCACUGGAGAGCAGAAGGCUCGCACGAAGUUGGUUCGCGGGAAGCGAAGUGAAAGCACUGUAAAACGCUGCUUGCGAGGCGAGGAGAAUGAGAGGCUUCCUCGGUCGACGCCACUACAAAUUACAAACGUUGCUGAAGACAAAACAUCUUAUACGAAAGAAAAAAAGAAUAUUUACUUACCAGACAUAUUGGCCUGAAAAGGAGGAAAACUCUGGAAGAACUACAGUGAAAUACCCCAACGUCAGUUCUUUGCUCUAUUAUAUGGGCAAGAACGAAUUAUUCACAAAAGUCUCAAAAAGUCUCAACAAAGUAACCUCAAAACACUCUCAGGACAUACAAUUAUACAGUAAUAUAGCUAGGGAUAUUUUAGUUUGAGUUUUUCUCCUCUCAUCCCUACUAUUUAAAACCCCAAGAACUCAAUGAUUUGACAAUGAUUUGAUUGCGCGAUACUUUCAAUUUGAAUAUUCAAAGGCUUCGUAAAAAGACUUAUUUCUGAGUGAUAUUCGCUAUUACAGUGCAUAUAAUAACAUCUCUUUUAAUAGAAUGUUGUGUUAUUUCACAUUUUGACAUCAACCAAAUAUAUAUUUUUAACAUUUUAUCAUCCUUUUGCUGUUGGUGGUUGGAGUCUCCCUUAGAAGCAAUAUUUCAACUUUGCAGUGAGACUGAAGGCACAAAUGAAGCUUUACAUGCCAUGACACAUUGUAAAUAGCUUCUCUAAUACGUAGUCUUGGAAAAAAAAUUAAUUAUUGCGUCGUGUAGAUCAUAUUUAUGCAGUAUUUUAAGAAUUAUUGGAGUUGUGGGCGUGGCAUAUGAAAGCAGCCAUGUUUGUCAUUAGAACAAUUGGGACGUCUGCUGAAGUCAGGUUACUGGGAUAGUGGAGGCAGGUAUAAGAAGGCUAAAUAUGAAAUUUAUUCAGUUAUAUUUAUAUAUUUAAUUCAAAGGGUCAGUUGCUGCAGUUGUUGAAGGUCAAAAGCAAGUUAACUGAAAGCGAUGUUCACAACACUUAUAUGCUAUUAAUUUCCUUUCUCACGGUAUUUUCUGUUUCAAUGCAAUAGAUUCAUUAAUCAAUGCAAAUUUAUCAACAUUAUCAUCAUCACCAUCAUCAUAUAGAUCCCCAAAAUAAAUAUAAGUGGUUUGAUGCGGAGUGAUGCUCAUCACAAACAGAAUCUCACACACCUGAUUUUACUCCUAAUUUAGGCCUAAUUUAAACGAAAAAGCUCCAAGAGGCAUAUUUACAUUUCUUAUACCAUAAUGCUGUUGAUUAUUUACAUGUGUCAUAUUUAAUGGUCGCGUAUUUAAGAAGACUGAAAGCGGGCAGAAUUGAUGACAUGCAGGUGUUCUUUGUCUUAGAAAAGAAGUCGGGUCCUUGUGACAUGUAGUACAGACAAACUGAACAUUUCGUUCGCAAGUGCAGAAUAUUUGUAAAUUAAAUUAUGGAUAAAACAUGGAGUACUUUAUAAACACGUCUUUAAUCAUCUUGAAUAUAGUCCUAAUUCAACUGUGUCUUGGUGGGAUUUCUAAAGGAUGUCCUUUGUGAAAUUGAUUUGAAAAGUUAAACCGCUGCAAACAGACCUCCAAUUUCAAAAUAUUACUUAAUUACCAGUCUCUUAUUAUCAGUCACCUUGAUGAACAGAUCUUUUAUAAUCCUAAGAAAUCUCCAAGAAACCUCCAAGAAACACUUCAACCGUGUUGGAGAGGUCGGUUCUUACGAGAUGUGGCCAGUUGAAUGUCGCCCCCUGGUGAUUAAACCGGGGAACGCUUAGGUCCUGUCACCAGACCUCCAUUUAUAUGUCAUCUAACUAUGCUGGGGUGCGUUUCCCGAAAGCAUCGUUAGUGAACUAUGGUCGUAAGUCCCAUUGAACUCUAUUGGUAACGACGGAACUUACGACCAUAGUUCGCUUUGGGAAACGCACCCCUGGUCUGACACGGUUUAUUAAGAGUCACUUAAUGCACUCAGUUUGGCAAUACAUUUAAUAAUAAUAAAAAAAUCAGCAAAUUUUCCAAAUUUUUCCCAUGCAGAGGUAAAUUCUACUGGAUUGAAGAUAUAAACUAGAGGAAGAAUCUAAAUUCAUGCAAGAAUGUUUUUGAACAAUAAAUAAUAAUUAGUUUUGAAUAAAGUGAACAAUUUAAAAUGACACAAAAAAAACCCCCAAUGUAUAAAAAACAAUUGCUGUGUGUGUUUGUGUGAGUGUUAGUGUUCCAUAAGGGUUCAGUCACUAGCAAUGUUAUCACAUAAAAAAUUCUGGAUGGAAAUGCCAAGAGGCGCACAAAUUCUAAAAAUGUGCACAAAAAAAAUGUAUGUGCUCAAUUGAGAUGAUGUUUUUAUUCAUGCGCAUAAACUAUGAUGAAAACACAUUUACCAAAUAAAUCCCUCAAUACGCAACAAAAAACUUGUGUGACUUUGCCUUAACAGGGGGUGUGACUGAUAACUGGAUUAAUUGGAAUCAUCAUAAGGGGUUGAUUAGCAUAUAAGCACAUAAUAUAUCAUAGGUUACCAAUUUCUCCAUUUUAUAUGGUACAUUUUUUUACUGACAAUUCCUGUGAGACUUUUUAGAAUUAAAACAGAGAAAAAAAUCAAAUAAUAAUGUAAAAGAUUUCCCCCCUUAUUUUAUUUAGAUUUUUUUCUUCUAUAAUGUUGUAUGUGAAUAUACAGGGAAUAUACUGUGAAUCUGUGAGGCAUUAAAACUUGAUUUAAUGAUUUGGUGUAAUUGUCUUGAAAAUGUUUGUACAUUUAAUUUUUAAUAAAAGGUUUGAGUUUUCAUUGCA